GACUGGGAGGGGGUGUGAGGGGGUGGCAGGAGGCCAGGCUUUGGCGGGAUCAGGUUAGGGCAGGUUUGGUUUCCUUAAAAUGCAAAGUUGGGGGCCAGUGGGGCUAGCAUAUAAAUUCCAACUCUGGGCAUCUGGCCCUUUGCUUUCCUUCAGGAGUCUCUCUCUGCUCUCUGGUCUGCCUCGGAUCCAAGAUGUCCAGUCCCCUGGAGCAGGCGCUGGCUGUGAUUGUUGCUACCUUCCACAAGUACUCUGGCCAAGAGGGAGACAAAUUCAAGCUGAGUAAGGGGGAGAUGAAGGAGCUUCUGCACAAGGAGCUGCCCAGCUUUGUGGGGGACAAGGUGGAUGAGGAGGGCCUGAAGAAGCUGAUGGGUGAUCUGGAUGAGAACAGUGACCAGCAGGUGGACUUCCAGGAGUACGCCGUCUUCCUGGCCCUCAUCACUAUUAUGUGCAAUGAUUUCUUCCAGGGCUCCUCAGCGCGGUCCUGAUGCAGGGCUUGUGGCUCCCUGCUGUGGGUCUCUUCGGCCGGGGAGGACUCUAAAGUCUUUUUUAGUUUUACUCAAUAAACUGUUUUUGCCGGUUAAAAAAAUAAAUAAAAAA